CCUACGGGAGGCAGCAGUGGGGAAUCUUGCACAAUGGGGGAAACCCUGAUGCAGCGACGCCGCGUGAGCGAUGAAGCCCUUCGGGGUGUAAAGCUCUUUCGUCAGGGAAGAUUAUGACGGUACCUGGAGAAGCAGCUGCGGCUAACUACGUGCCAGCAGCCGCGGUAAU
rnacentral:rRNA from 1 species